UCGGUGCCGUAGUGUCGAUUCGGCGCAAACACAACAGAAGUGAAUUAUUAGCUUCAUUUAUUUCGAGAAAAACCUGACGGGCUGCAAUACGCUAGCUUACCUGGGUAGAGGAGUCCAUCAUGAGUAGCGUUCCUGCACCUGCAUCGCUCCCUGGAGGUUUAGUUCGGACAGCUUCACGCAGCUGUGCAAGCUCGCGAGAGCAAACAUCAGCUUCUGUGGACGGCAUCCUCGAUGGUUCCAAUUUCCAGCCCAUUCCCCAAUUUUCAACCCCAAUGACAGACAACACACGCUCGAAUGGGUGCUUUGCUAAAGAAGGGAAUUGUUUCACUUCCUGUGCUACCCAAAGAAUGGGCUGAGGACGCUGAUGCAGAACCGUGGAGGACGGAGCGAGGGAGUGCAAGAGAGAGAAGAGAUAGCAGGGAAAAGACAAAACAAAACACAUGAAGCCGAGACAGCAGGAAAAUAAACAGAAGAGAGGAGGGGGAAGAGAAAGAAAAGGAAUGGGGUGGAGGGGAAAUCUCCGGCCAGAUCUUAGGUGCACAUACGUCCUUUAUCCACCUAAUAUAGGACAUGACAUGUGGUUUCCAAAGGAAAUGAAAGGAUUUUGGACCUGAUUUCUAGAGCUGUUCUCAGGUAAAGGCUGCAACUGCAGAGCAACAGACUUGAACUCAAGGCACAAAUGCAAUAACGCAUAACUCAAUCACUGCAGCGAUGUUAUCGAAAGACACAAUUUGGCUUCGCUGUUUUCCCCUAAAUGGAAUCAAACCACAAGACUGAACAACUGAAUGACAAUUGGCUGAGACCCACCUGAAUUUGCAUAAAGUGUCCUUAUUCUUUUUGUUUUUUUUAUUUUGUUUAGCAUGCAGAAGUAACUCAAUAAGCUAUGCUACUUCCUGGGAAAUUCACCAUACCUAUUAACCCAUAUACCGCUUUUGGCCAGGCCAGCUGUUUACACCAUAUUACAACAACAUGCCUGAAAUGUCAGUCAUUGCAGGACUUGAGCCUUUUUUCUUGUUUUUGUUGCGUGAAUGCUCGCUCGCUUCCACCUCAGCAGGUCGGCAAAAACAUGAGAUUUUGGUGGGAAGCUAGACUCCGUGCCACCACAGAGAUUUCCAGUGACAAUCGCUAACAAGCCCCACUGCCAAAUUGGUUCCCUUUGGCUUGAUUCCACUCCUUAAUUCUCUCCUCCCUUACCCCCGAUUGCUCCUCCAGAGGGGUCUAGGCUCAUAGUUUCCCAUCUGUAAUAGUUUUUGUGGCAUAUUACUCUCCCCAAUCUACUCCUAUAAUUCGCUUUUGAUGGCACAGUUUAGUUGUAGUUAGAGGAGCUGUGCACUCUGGAGACAGCAUUGGCAGUGGGAAAUUAAUUGAUAAAUCCUGUUGUGAUCUGAUCAGCAGCGCCACCGUAAUGCACGUCCUCUAUUUAUCUUUUUUUUACGUUGAAAUGGUGGAAAAUUUUUAAGGCAGGCACAUUUAAUUGCUUAAAUAUAGCAUCAGUUGCAGAUUGCUACAAAGUUUAUUUGUAAGGUAGACAAUAUAUCUUACAGAUUAGACAGAGGUAAUUGCCAUUUCAACAGUGUCAGUGAUGACACUGCAGAUAAAUUCAAAUAAAAAACAAACAUGCCGGGAGUGAUAAGAACAAAUUUCUUUUUCUGGUAAAAUUCGAGAUAUCUGUUUUAUAUUACACCACAGAUGACAUGACAUUUAUUACCAUUUCCAGCACAGUUGAAAAGAUCUCAAGGGGCCCGGUACUGUAGCGGUUACAAGUGGAAUAAACUGCUUAGAAGAUGUUCAAGGGAUGAUGCACAUAACUGGCAAUAUGAAUGUGAAUUCCCUGAGAAGCUUAUUUUUGCACACACAUACACACACGCACAGAGUGAACAACAUGAGAAAUGGGCGAAGAGCCAUAGUAUUCAGUGCAAACUGGAGGGCCCAAGUCGCUAAACUAAUCCUAGUACCAUAGGAUCCCACUUUCAGCCCUGUCUUUUGCUGCAGCUGCCUGGGAUCAUUUCACAAACACGAGGUAUUCCUGGAAGAAUUGAUUCUGUUAGAUAGUACAUUGAUCACACACAUCGCCUGCGGACAGAAGAUGGCUUUACAAGCAAUAAUACGGGAGACAAUUAUAUUAUUUUAGUGAAAUAAGACAGAGUACAAGCAGCGAGUGCCAAUAGCCCAGGCAGGGGGAGGGAGGCACAGGCGGGCCCCCUCUGCGCCUGCCUCGGUGUGUUUGUGCUCCAUCCUCAAGUGGCACGGUAAUCCACUAAACUUUCCUCCACCCGCUUCCCUCAAUGCAAUCAGGAUGCGAAGGCUCACCAGUGAUUGCGUUCAUUUGUAAAAGCAUCCAAGCCAAAAUUGAACCCCAAGGCUGAUAAACUAUAAAGAUGCUGAUCAGAUCGCAGCUAAGGAGUCCACACUUGAGGGCACGAGGUGUCAGGGCUGGAGCCAAAAGAGCAAUGACUCUGUAUACCUCACUCAGAGCGAAGCGACUGCCCCGGAAUACAAACAAGAGGGGAGAAAACACAUAAAGACGACAACAAACUGCGAUAGGAUUUUUCAUCCUGCAGCAUCUCCCGGAAGAGGAGGAUUUUUAGAUGUUGUUUUUUUUCACCCCCCCUCCCUUCUUCUUCUUUAUGGACUCAGUUGGUAAAUGCAUUUAUUGCUCAGGCUUAAGCAAAUGUACUUUAUUGAUGAAGUCUGUGUGAAUUUCAUAAUGCAUCUCAUGAAAAGCAGAAGCCCAAAAGAGAUCUUGCAAAGGGAGCUCAUAUGUUUUCAGCCCUGCAAUAGUAAGUUGGAAUGAGAGCAAUACAUAACUAUUCAAGUCCGGCCUAUUUUGUCUUCCGCCGCUUUGCCCUGUUGUCACCGCACGCACUUGAAGAGUUACUGAAACUUUUCGUCUGUUAGUUAUUUCUCACAGCUAUUGCCCUGUGUCUUUACUUUAAACACACAUCUUCCCCCGCUAAAGCACAAAGACUGAGGACAGACAGCGGAGGGGAAAAAAACCAAAAAAGAAAGAAAGGCAGGAUUUGAGGAUCUCCAUCCUCGUGGCCCCAGUGCGUUAAAUGUCAAAGAGCAGUCAGCGGGAGAGACUGAUUCCAGGAGGCGAUGUGAAUGGGACGAUUGAAGACCUGCCUUGAUUGACAGCUCUUCCUCUCUCGCUCUGCCCCGAGGGUGAUUGACAAUGUGGUUCAUCUCACAUUUUGUGACUGAGCUAAUCCAGUAAAUUCCUACCAGACGCAGCACAACUCAGCAGAGACCUGCCGCUCCUUUCCCAGGUGGAGCUUUCAUUUUAUCUCUCGCUC